UGGGGAAUAUUGGACAAUGGGCGCAAGCCUGAUCCAGCCAUACCGCGUGUGUGAAGAAGGCUUUCGGGUUGUAAAGCACUUUAAGUGAGGAAGAAAAGAUACCAGUUAAUACCUGUUAUCCGUGACAUUACUCACAGAAUAAGGACCGGCUAAUUCCGUGCCAGCAGCCGCGGUAAUACGGAAGGUCCAAGCGUUAAUCGGAAUUACUGGGCGUAAAGCGCGCGUAGGUGGUUUAUCAAGUUGGUUGUGAAAGCCCCGGGCUUAACCUGGGAACUGCAGCCAAAACUGAUUCACUAGAGUACGAAAGAGGAAAGUAGAAUUCACAGUGUAGCGGUGGAAUGCGUAGAUAUUGUGAAGAAUACCAAUUGCGAAGGCAGCUUUCUGGUUCUGUACUGACACUAAGGUGCGAAAGCGUGGGGAGCGAACAGG
rnacentral:rRNA from 1 species